CUGUGGCUCUUCUGGUUUCCAUUUCUUGUAUUUUCUGCCACUGUAGACUGACAUAAGUAGAUAAGAAGGGUUCACUCUCUGUUGUAUGCCAAGCCCUCUGUGGAAAAAAGAAAAAUACAUUUGAUAAGCAUACAGAUUAUGUAAAAGUUGUCUUCACUAUAAUAUUGGCCUAUGAUCCAGGAGAAGAGUGGUGCCUUUCCUCAUGGAAUUAUAAAUCUCUUUUUUCUUUUUUUUUUUCUUCUUUUUUUUUUUUUGCCCUGGAUAAUGCAAACAGAAAUAAGAGAACAUGAGGAAAUGGCAGUCAAAUCACUAGCAUGGGUUUGCUGGACCCAGAAAAUACGUGCUAAGUAGGAGACAUCCAGGAAGUGUGUUUGGGAUGGGUCAGUUUUUAUUGAUGCUUCUUGGCGUGUUGUUUAUAUAAUAAAUGUGACGAUGAAGUGUUGGCAGCAGUACCAUCCUCCUGCCCUGUCCCAUGCUGGAGGUGUCUGUUUGCUCUCUCUCAGUGCCAGCCCUGCCGUGGGCUGUCCUUGGUGCUGUCCACUGCAAAGUGCCCUUUCCGAGGCGCUAUAUGGGAAUGCUGUGAUGAUUGUGGUGGCAGUCCUCAUUCAACACCCUGUUCCCCGACAUCUACAGGAAAAGACAUGCAGUGUUUGUCGUUUCCACUGCAUGCAGGGAACUGCAGAGCUCUGUGCACAACUGCAGCUCGGGUCUGCAGUUUGCCAGCAGGGAGAAGUGGUGAUCCUGUGUAUCACACUCAGUUCCAUUUGCCUUCUGCCAUCAGGGAAAGGGUGCUUGGCUUUUCUCUCUUCCCAAGUUCUUCAGUGUUUACCUGAAAGCUCUUUGGGUCUGCAGUCUGAAGACACUUCAUGGUGCUAAAGGACCAACUGAAAGUAAUUCUGAAGCGAUCUUUAAGGUAGGAACUAACCAUUAAUCAGAAUGGCUACAGGGGGAGUACAGCAACAGAAUGAAAUAAACUAAUCCUGUCUUGCUGCCUAGAUUGCA
ensembl:lncRNA